GGCUCAGGAUGAACGCUAGCGGCAGGCCUAAUACAUGCAAGACGAACGGUAAGUGGUGUAGCAAUAUAUCACCUAGAGUGUCGCAAGGGUGCGUAACACGUAUGCAAUCUGCCCUCAACAGGAGGAUAGCUCCCCGAAAGGGGAAUUAACACUCCAUAACACUAUGAUCAGGCAUCUGGUUGUAGUUAAAACUCCGGUGGUUGAGGAUGAGCAUGCGGAUGAUUAGCUAGUUGGCGGUGUAACGGACCACCAAGGCGAUGAUCAAUAGGGGAACUGAGAGGUUUAUCCCCCACACUGGCACUGAGAUACGGGCCAGACUCCUACGGGAGGCAGCAGUAGGGAAUAUUGGACAAUGGGCGCAAGCCUGAUCCAGCCAUGCCGCGUGCAGGAAGAAGGCCUUCUGGGUCGUAAACUGCUUUUCUCUGGGGAUAAAAAGACCCUGCGGGGUAAAUUGAAGGUACCAGAGGAAUAAGCCACGGCUAACUACGUGCCAGCAGCCGCGGUAAUACGUAGGUGGCAAGCGUUGUCCGGAUUUAUUGGGUUUAAAGGGUGCGUAGGCGGUUCCAUAAGUCAGUGGUGAAAUACGGCAGCUCAACUGUCGAGGUGCCAUUGAUACUGCGGAACUUGAGUACUGAUGAGGUAGGCGGAAUUGACGGUGUAGCGGUGAAAUGCUUAGAUAUCGUCAAGAACACCGAUAGCGAAGGCAGCUUACCAAGCAGUAACUGACGCUGAGGCACGAAAGUGCGGGGAUCAAACAGGAUUAGAUACCCUGGUAGUCCGCACAGUAAACGAUGAUUACUCGAUGUUGGCGAUACACAGCCAGCGUCUUAGCGAAAGCGAUAAGUAAUCCACCUGGGGGAGUA
rnacentral:rRNA from 1 species